GGUCAAGUUAGGCCACUCAUGUUUGGACUUGGUUAGAAGAUGGCGCUUGUCACAUUCCAAAUAUAACGAAAAUGAGGCUUAAUUAUUAUUCUGUGGGGGUAAAUAUGAAUGUUUUUGUCCUUCCUUUGGAUAUGAUACUAGAACAAAGCUAAUGGCAUUUACAUAUCAAAGAGAUUUACUCAUCACUUACAAAAUACAGGCCAAAUGGAUGAAG
rnacentral:lncRNA from 1 species